GCGCUGCCAAUCCCGCCCCGCUGGCCAGCUGGGUGGCCCGGCCCGGCUGCGGCUCUUUGUGUCGCGGCGCAGAGGCCGGCCGGGCUCGGGUCCCGGAGCGCGCCGCGUGGGAUGCGCGCCGCAGGGACCAGGCGCCGCCAUGAGCCCAGAUAGCACCAAGCUGCUGGGGAACCAGCCACCUGUCUACGGGACGCUUCUGCACGGCUCUAGUAAAUCCUGCAUGGAGGUGAGCGGCUACCAAAGCAGAACAUGGCGGAUCAUCCUUUGCUACGUGUUCUCCGUGCUGACAGCAG